rnacentral:sRNA from 1 species
GAGGUUUGCCUUGAAGGCACCUUCAAAACUCAAAGCCAGACAUUUGUCUGGCUUUUUUUUUGACCUUU